CCUACGGGUGGCAGCAGUGAGGAAUAUUGGUCAAUGGGCGCGAGCCUGAACCAGCCAAGUCGCGUGAGGGAUGAAGGUUCUAUGGAUCGUAAACCUCUUUUAUAAGGGAAUAAAGUGUGGGACGUGUCCUAUUUUGGAUGUACCGUAUGAAUAAGGAUCGGCUAACUCCGUGCCAGCAGCCGCGGUAAUACGGAGGAUCCGAGCGUUAUCCGGAUUUAUUGGGUUUAAAGGGUGCGUAGGCGGCCUUUUAAGGCAGCGGUGAAAGUCGGUGGCUCAACCAUAGAAUUGCCGUUGAAACUGGGGGGCUUGAGUGUGUUUGAGGCAGGCGGAAUGCGUGGUGUAGCGGUGAAAUGCUUAGAUAUCACGCAGAACCCCGAUUGCGAAGGCAGCCUACCAGGGCAUAACUGACGCUGAUGCACGAAGGCGUGGGGAUCGAACAGGAUUAGAUACCCUAGUAGUC
rnacentral:rRNA from 1 species